rnacentral:rRNA from 1 species
GAUGAACGCUGGCGGCGUGCCUAAUACAUGCAAGUCGAGCGAACGGACGAGAAGCUUGCUUCUCUGGUGUUAGCGGCGGACGGGUGAGUAACACGUGGAUAACCUACCUAUAAGACUGGGAUAACUUCGGGAAACCGGAGCUAAUACCGGAUGAUAUUUUGAACCGCAUGGUUCAAAGGUGAAAGACGGUCUUGCUGUCACUUAUAGAUGGAUCCGCGCUGCAUUAGCUAGUUGGUAAGGUAACGGCUUACCAAGGCAACGAUGCAUAGCCGACCUGAGAGGGUGAUCGGCCACACUGGAACUGAGACACGGUCCAGACUCCUACGGGAGGCAGCAGUAGGGAAUCUUCCGCAAUGGGCGAAAGCCUGACGGAGCAACGCCGCGUGAGUGAUGAAGGUCUUCGGAUCGUAAAACUCUGUUAUUAGGGAAGAACAUAUGUGUAAGUAACUGUGCACAUCUUGACGGUACCUAAUCAGAAAGCCACGGCUAACUACGUG